rnacentral:rRNA from 1 species
AAUUGGAGGGCAAGUCUGGUGCCAGCAGCCGCGGUAAUUCCAGCUCCAAUGGCGUAUAUUAAAGUUGUUGCAGUUAAAAAGCUCGUAGUUGAAUUUCGGGGUUAGUAGGUUGGUCAUGCCUCCGGUAUGUACUGAUCUCACUGAUUCCUCCUUCCUUAUGAACCGUAAUGCCAUUAAUUUGGUGUUGCGGGGAAUUUGGACUGUUACUUUGAAAAAAUUAGAGUGUUUAAAGCAGGCUCACGCUUGAAUACAUUAGCAUGGAAUAAUGAAAUAGGACGUUUGAUUCUAUUUUGUUGGUUUCUAGGAUCGACGUAAUGAUUAAUAGGGAUAGUUGGGGGCAUUAGUAUUCAAUUGUCAGAGGUGAAAUUCUUGGAUUUAUUGAAGACUAACUACUGCGAAAGCAUUUGCCAAGGAUGUUUUCAUUAAUCAAGAACGAAAGUUAGGGGAUCGAAGACGAUCAGAUACCGUCGUAGUCUUAACCAUAAACUAUGCCGACUAGGGAUCGGAUGAUGUUAAUUUUUUAAUGACUCAUUCGGCGCCUUACGGGAAACCAAAGUGU